GCAAAGGCUUAGAACGAAAAGAGUAUCUGGUCAUACGCUCACAGAGAGGAAUUGUCACUGGCUGAAAGCAAUUCCGGGAAAGCGGCCAAAGAAGUGCAUUCGGGAGCUGAUUCUGCGAACACACAAAGAGUGUCAGUAGCAGGGUACGUGUCGCAUACGUUACGUGCAAUGAGUGAAAGAACCAGAUUCUUUUAAUAGAGUGGAACCGCGGAAGAACUUCGUCUCUAAG
rnacentral:ncRNA from 1 species